GACGAACGCUGGCGGCGUGCUUAACACAUGCAAGUCGAACGGAAAGGCCUUGCUUGCAGAGUACUUGAGUGGCGAACGGGUAAGUAACAGGUGGGUGAUCUGCCAUGCACUUCGGGAUACGCGUGGGAAACUGGGACUAAUACCGGAUAGGACCGCACUUUAGUGUGUGUGGGGGAAAGUUUUUUCGGUGUAGGGUGAGCUCGCGGCCUAUCAGCUUGUUGGUGGGGUAAUGGCCUACCAAGGCGGCGACGGGUAGCCGGCCUGGGAGGGUGUACGGCCACAUUGGGACUGAGGUACGGCCCAGACUCCUACGGGAGGCAGCAGUGGGGAAUAUUUCACAAUGGGCGCCAGCCUGAUGCAGCGGCGCCGCGUGGGGGGUGAAGGCCUUCGGGUUGUAAACUCCUUUCGCUAGGGACGAAGCUUUUUGUGACGGUACCUAGAGAAGAAGCACCGGCUAACUACGUG
rnacentral:rRNA from 1 species